rnacentral:rRNA from 1 species
GUGGGGAAUAUUGGACAAUGGGGGGAACCCUGAUCCAGCCAUGCCGCGUGUGUGAAGAAGGCCUUUUGGUUGUAAAGCACUUUAAGCGAGGAGGAGGCUUACCUGGUUAAUACCUAGGAUAAGUGGACGUUACUCGCAGAAUAAGCACCGGCUAACUCUGUGCCAGCAGCCGCGGUAAUACAGAGGGUGCGAGCGUUAAUCGGAUUUACUGGGCGUAAAGCGCGCGUAGGUGGUUAAUUAAGUCAAAUGUGAAAUCCCCGAGCUUAACUUGGGAAUUGCAUUCGAUACUGGUUAGCUAGAGUAUGGGAGAGGAUGGUAGAAUUCCAGGUGUAGCGGUGAAAUGCGUAGAGAUCUGGAGGAAUACCGAUGGCGAAGGCAGCCAUCUGGCCUAAUACUGACACUGAGGUGCGAAAGCAUGGGGAGCAAACAGGAUUAGAUACCCUGGUAGUCC